GGGCCAUUAGCUCAAUUGGUAGAGCUCCGGACUCUUAAUCCGUAGGUUGUAGGUUCGAGUCCUACAUGGCCCACCA
rnacentral:tRNA from 2 species